rnacentral:rRNA from 1 species
GAUGAACGCUGGCGGCGUGCCUAACACAUGCAAGUCGAACGGAGUCCAGCCUUUAAGACCUUCGGGUCGAGUGGGGGAAGGCUGAGUGGCGGACGGGUGAGUAACACGUGGGCAACCUGGCUCAUAGAGGGGGAUAACAGAAAGCAAUUUCUGCUAAUACCGCAUAUGCACACACUGCGGCAUUGCAGGCGGUGAAGAGAGAAUCGCUAUGAGAUGGACCCGCGUCUGAUUAGCCAGUUGGCAGGGUCAGAGCCUACCAAAGCGACGAUCAGUAGCCGAGCGGAGAGGAUGAACGGCUGGAUUGGGGAUGAGACACGGCCCACAACCGGACGGGAGGGAGCAGUAGGGGACAUUGCACAAGGGGGGGAACUGUGAUGACGCGACGUGGGGGGAGUGAAGAAGUAGUUCGGUAUGUAAAGCUCUAUGAGCAGGGAAGAUAAUGACAGUACCUGAAAAAGAAGCACCGGCUAACUACGUG